UGGGGAAUUUUGCCAAAUGGGGGAAACCCUGAUCCCGCCCAGCCCCGUGUUCGGAAAAAGCCCUUUGGUUUUUAAACACUUUUAGGUAGGAAGAGAAUACUCAGAGUUAUACUCUUGGAUAGUGGACGUUACUCGCAGAAUAAGCACCGGCUAACUCUGUGCCAGCAGCCGCGGUAAUACAGAGGGUGCGAGCGUUAAUCGGAAUUACUGGGCGUAAAGCGUGCGUAGGCGGUUUUUUAAGUCGGAUGUGAAAUCCCCGAGCUUAACCUGGGAAUUGCAUUCGAUACUGGCAAGCUAGAGUAUGGGAGAGGAUGGUAGAAUUCCAGGUGUAGCGGUGAAAUGCGUAGAGAUCUGGAGGAAUACCGAUGGCGAAGGCAGCCAUCUGGCCUAAUACUGACGCUGAGGUACGAAAGCAUGGGGAGCAAACAGGAUUAGAUACCCUGGUAGUCCAUGCCGUAAACGAUGUCUACUAGCCGUUGGGGCCUUUGAGGCUUUAGUGGCGCAGCUAACGCGAUAAGUAGACCGCCUGGG
rnacentral:rRNA from 1 species